GUCGUGACUGCGUGCCUUUUGAAGAAUGAGCCUGCGAGUUUGCGGUGUGUUGCGAGGUUAACCCGUGUGGGGAAGCCGUAGCGAAAGCGAGUCCGAAUAGGGCGAUUUAGUAGCGCGCUCAAGACCCGAAGCGGAGUGAUCUAGCCAUGGGCAGGUUGAAGCGGAGGUAAGACUUCGUGGAGGACCGAACCCACCAGGGUUGAAAACCUGGGGGAUGACCUGUGGUUAGGGGUGAAAGGCCAAUCAAACUCCGUGAUAGCUGGUUCUCCCCGAAAUGCAUUUAGGUGCAGCGUCGUGUGUUUCUUGCCGGAGGUAGAGCACUGGAUAGGCGAUGGGCCCUACCGGGUUACUGACCUUAGCCAAACUCCGAAUGCCGGUAAGUGAGAGCACGGCAGUGAGACUGUGGGGGAUAAGCUCCAUGGUCGAGAGGGAAACAGCCCAGAGCAUCGACUAAGGCCCCUAAGCGUACGCUAAGUGGGAAAGGAUGUGGAGUCGCAGAGACAACCAGGAGGUUGGCUUAGAAGCAGCCACCCUUGAAAGAGUGCGUAAUAGCUCACUGGUCUAGUGAUUCCGCGCCGACAAUGUAGCGGGGCUCAAGCGUACCGCCGAAGUCGUGUCAUUGCAGCAAUAGCCCCAACGGGCGCUGUGAUGGGUAGGGGAGCGUCGUGUGCCGGGUGAAGCAGCCGCGGAAGCGAGUUGUGGACGGUUCACGAGUGAGAAUGCAGGCAUGAGUAGCGAUACACACGUGAGAAACGUGUGCGCCGAUUGACUAAGGGUUCCUGGGUCAAGCUGAUCUGCCCAGGGUAAGUCGGGACCUAAGGCGAGGCCGACAGGCGUAGUCGAUGGAUAACCGGUUGAUAUUCCGGUACCCGCUGUGAAGCGUCAAACAUCGAAUCCAGUGAUGCUAAGGCCGUGAAGCCGUUCCGGACCCUUCGGGGAAAGGAAAGUGGUGGAGCCGCCGGCCCAAGUUGGUAGUAGGUGAGUGAUGGGGUGACGCAGGAAGGUAGUCCAGCCCGGGCGAUGGUAGUCCCGGGGUAAGGGUGUAGG
rnacentral:rRNA from 1 species